UGUCACAGACCAUUGCAAAGUUUAUCUGAUUGUUUUGGAUUGUAUUUUAUCUUUUUUGUAUUUUGGGUUCUUUAUUUAACAUUUGGUGUUUUGGAUUGAGCAUGUUUUUCUUUUACUCAACUCAUCCUGAUAAUCUGCUGGUAAUUGCUUCCUCUCCCUGAACUGAAUUGCUGGAUUCUCAUUGGCUGAGAGAAUGAGUCCCAUGCCCUCUUAAGCUGGACAAUUAAAACCAGGUGGGGGAAGUUGGAAGAGGGGGAGAGGACCAUCCCACUGCUCAGCUCCUCCAAACCUGGUCAACCUGUCAACCCUGCAGCGAGGCGGCUUGGUGUGGUCUUUGAUUCAACGCUCACAAUUGUUCAACUAAAGGAAAAGCACAAGUGAGAGCACAGGACGUGGGUGUGCAGCUGGAACGUGCAGGCUCUGAAAGGACCAACCAUAACUGGGUUCAUUGGAGUGGAGAUCUAGCAGCUGGCCUCCAUACAGGUGGAUAGGUGGAUGGAACAGUUUCCUGCCAGGACUGCGUGGUGAUCUCCCCUGCUGGUGUGGUGACAGACUUUAAAUGAAAAGCAUGAGAUGAACUGAACUGAGCUGUGCGAUGGGAGACUUGGACUGUUGUUUUUUUGGAUAACCUGUUUCUUCCUUUUGCAGAUKUUUCUCUUUCAGAGAUUGUUUUAUUCAAUUUUAAUCUAGGUUUUUCUUAAUUGUUGUUUUUACAAAUAAAUGUGAAUUUCACUUUUAGACCAAUUAUA